rnacentral:lncRNA from 1 species
AGGUAAUAGGUGUACAUAUUUUAAGGGUAUAUGUGAUAAUUUAAUACAUUCAUAAAUUUGUAAAGAUCAAAUCAGUGUAACUGGGAUAUACAUUAUCUUAUGUAUGUCUUUUCUUUAUGCUGGAGACAUUCACAUUGGAAUUAUUCUCUUCUAGCUAUUCUGAAAUACACAAUGGAUUAUUAUAAACUGCUGAUCUAUCAAACAGUAGGUCUUAUUUCUUCUAUAAAACUGUAUAUUUGUACCCAUUAACCAACUUCUCUUAAUGCAAACCUUCAAGACCUUUUGAGUUUUACUCAAACUAGAACACUGUGGAUCCUUUGACUGGAUGAUCAUUUUGACAAGCAGAGUAAGCUACUUAAAGUAGAAGCUUGAGACUCAGUGGGCAUGUGAUCAGACUUCAGUGGCAUGUGAACAAAGCAUUGUCAUUCUAAGGUGGCUGGAAGGGACCUAACUGCAGACAGUGAAAGAACAGUUCAGGUUGAUGAGGUGGCAGCGGUUAAUAGCUGGCAUCUAAUUUGGCAGUUGAGAUACGGAAUGAUCAGAAGUUUGAGCACUUAUUUUGGGAGUCUGAGAGGGGGAUCUAUAAUUAGAAUAAGUCAGAUAGAAUGAAAAUAAGAAUAAAGCAAACAAUUAACCUGAUUGAUGUUUUCCACUGGGGUAUAUUGGCUGGUUUUUCACAGAAAAUGUAGAGACGGGUUACCUUUAACAAAACUCUCCUGUCCUGCUAUUAUACCUUACCAGUCGUUAGGACCUUUAUAAACUGAAGUGUGGACACAACAGAGGGUUUGCCACUGAACUGACUUUGUUUCUCCUCACAAAUGGACGGAUCAAAAUAAUGACCAAUUUGUUUAGUUGAUUAAGGGAAAAAAAUGUCAGCAAACACGUUACCCAUGUGGUAAAAUAUUUUUUACUUUUUAGGAAAUGUUUUCCUAUCCCCAUGGUAAUAGCUGUUAUCCCAUUCUCAGCCACAAAAUCAGAAAAACAAAGGGCGAGUAAGGAGGCUUUGUCUCAUAGGUUUUGCUAUCUUGUUUAAAGUAUCAAUGUCUUGGGGAUGCCAUCUUCUUAGGAUUAUACUAACAUAGUUUGUAGGUUUUCUAUAAGGCAGUAUUACAAUGCCAAAGCAAAGCCCUAGAAUGAAUGUUGAUCUACAAACAGCUGGUCCUGUUAGAGGAACACUUAACUCCUCCAAAUUAAUUGACUUAUUAAAUCAGUUUACUCAUUUUACUUAUUUUUCUUUUACUUUCAUUAAGUAGAAAUAAGUGUUUAAAUUUACCCAAUUUUAUUCAUAACAUGAGGGAAAAUACCAAUUGGUCUGAAGGUCACCCUAAAUUUCUACAAAUCCUCUUAUAGGCAUGUUAGGGCUUUGUUGGCUGAGAACAAGGUUGCCUGCAAUUUUGAGAACGCUUUGAUACUCUUGUCUCCUAUGCAUCCUUGACAAAUGUGGCUGCUCCCAUGUUCCAGCUUUUCCAGUGUCACUUGAGGAUUCUAUGAUACCUUUUCCACGAAUGGUAGUCCUUCAAUGGGCAUGACAUUCAUCUCUAGAUGAUGCCAUUCCUCUGCUUAUUUCUAAUUCUACCUUCAAAAGAUAACAAUUGACAGAUGACUUCUCUCACAGUGGAUCCUGGAUUGAGAGACCUGAAAAUAUUUCUAGGGGUCCAUUCUUCUCCAUGCUCUUUUUCCACUGUGCUGGCUUAAUUCUCAAGCCAACUCUGUUUCGGCAGACACGGGGUCAUUAUGUCUCGGCUUCUGUCCUGCUGAUACGGAUAGUCCAGCAGAAAAGCCCGAGUUUCUUAUGCAACUCUUAAAGAAAAAGUUCAACACCUGAUUUUCAUUUAUCUAAAUUGGGUCAUUUUGUAGUUAGAGCAAAUUAGAACCUGAA